rnacentral:rRNA from 1 species
UNUGACUUGAGUGCAGAAGGGGAGAGUGGAAUUCCAUGUGUAGCGGUGAAAUGCGUAGAUAUAUGGAGGAACACCAGUGGCGAAAGCGGCUCUCUGNUCUGUCACUGACGCUGAGGCUCGAAAGCGUGGGCAGCGAACAGGAUUAGAUACCCUGGUAGUNCACGCCGUAAACGAUGAGUGCUAGGUGUUAGGCCCUUUCCGGGGCUUAGUGCCGGAGCUAACGCAAUAAGCACUCCGCCUGGGGAGUACGACCGCAAGGUUGAAACUCAAAGGAAUUGACGGGGGCCCGCACAAGCGGUGGAGCAUGUGGUUUAAUUCGAAGCAACGCGAAGAACCUUACCAGGUCUUGACAUCCCGAUGCUAUUCUUAGAGAUAGGAAGUUACCUCGGUACAUCGGAGACAGGUGGUGCAUGGUUGUCGUCAGCUCGUGUCGUGAGAUGUUGGGUUAAGUCCCGCAACGAGCGCAACCCUUAUUGUUAGUUGCCAUCAUUAAGUUGGGCACUCUAGCGAGACUGCCGGUAAUAAACCGGAGGAAGGUGGGGAUGACGUCAAAUCAUCAUGCCCCUUAUGACCUGGGCUACACACGUGCUACAAUGGUCGGUACAACGAGUUGCGAGCCGGUGACGGCAAGCUAAUCUCUGAAAGCCGAUCUCAGUUCGGAUUGGAGGCUGCAACUCGCCUCCAUGAAGUCGGAAUCGCUAGUAAUCGCGGAUCAGCACGCCGCGGUGAAUACGUUCCCGGGCCUUGUACACACCGCCCGUCACACCACGAGAGUUUGUAACACCCGAAGUCGGUGAGGUAACCUUUUAGGGGCCAGCCGCCUAAGGUGGGANGGAUGA